GAGGAGGAAGGAAUGGGCAACGGUACGGUCAGUAUGGCCCCGAAUAUCCCGGGCUACACGCGAGCUACAAUGGUUGGUACAAUGGGUAUCUACCCCGAAAGGGGACGGGAAUCUCCUAAACCAAUCUUAGUUCGGAUUGAGGGCUGCAACUCGCCCUCAUGAAGCUGGAAUCCGUAGUAAUCGCGUUUCAACAGAACGCGGUGAAUACGUCCCUGCUCCUU
rnacentral:rRNA from 1 species